rnacentral:rRNA from 1 species
GACGAACGCUGGCGGCGCGCUUAACACAUGCAAGUCGAGCGAUGAAAUUUCGCCAGAUCCCUUCGGGGUGAAGAUGAAAUGGAUUAGCGGCGGUCGGGUGAGUAACACUUGAUUAACCUGCCUUUGACAUUGGGAUAGCCUCGGGCAACUGGGAUUUAUACCAAAUGACACUAACUGAUCACAUGAUCAAUUAGUCAAAGAUAUUCGGUCUAUGAUGGACUCGCAGCUGAUUAGCUAGUUGGUAAGGUAACGGCCAACCACGGCGACGUCCAGUACCCGGCAUGAGAGGGGGAUCGGCCACAUUGGAACUGAGACACAGACCAAACUGCGACGGGAGGCAGGAGAAGGGAAUAUAGCAAAAUGGGGGAAAACCUGAAGAAGCGACGCGGGGUAAGAGAAGAAGGCCGUCGGGACGUAAAGCUGAUUGAGAAGGGAAGAGAAUGACGGUACCUGAAGAAAAAGCCCCGGCUAACUACGUG